GAUGAAGAACGCAGUGAAAUGCGAUAAGUAAUGUGAAUUGUAGAAUUCAGUGAAUCAUCGAAUCUUUGAACGCACAUUGCGCCCCCUGGUAUUCCGGGGGGCAUGCCUGUUCGAGCGUCAUUUCACCACUCAAGCCUCGCUUGGUAUUGGGCAACGCGGUCCGCCGCGUGCCUCAAAUCGACCGGCUGGGUCUUCUGUCCCCUAAGCGUUGUGGAAACUAUUCGCUAAAGGGUGUUCGGGAGGCUACGCCGUAAAACAACCCCAUUUCUAAGGUUGACCUCGGAUCAGGUAGGGAUACCCGCUGAACUUAAGCAUAUCAAUAAGCGGAGGA
rnacentral:misc_RNA from 1 species